GACGAACGCUGGCGGCGUGCUUAACACAUGCAAGUCGAACGGUGAUGCUCCAGCUUGCUGGAGUGGAUCAGUGGCGAACGGGUGAGUAACACGUGAGCAACCUGCCCCAGACUCUGGAAUAAGCGCUGGAAACGGCGUCUAAUACUGGAUACGAAACUGGCCCGCAUGGGCAUGGUUUGGAAAGUUUAUCGGUUUGGGAUGGGCUCGCGGCCUAUCAGCUUGUUGGUGAGGUAAUGGCUCACCAAGGCGACGACGGGUAGCCGGCCUGAGAGGGCGACCGGCCACACUGGGACUGCGACACGGCCCAGACUCCUACGGGAGGCAGCAGUGGGGAAUAUUGCACAAUGGGCGAAAGCCUGAUGCAGCGACGCCGCUUGAGGGAUGACGGCCUUCGGGUUGUAAACCUCUUUCAGCAGGGAAGAAGCGAAAGUGACGGUACCUGCAGAAGAAGCACCGGCUAACUACGUG
rnacentral:rRNA from 1 species